rnacentral:snoRNA from 1 species
UCUGCCCCUUGAGGUGUUGCAGUCCGACUAUGUGUUGAUCCUGUGUCAUGAGGGGCGGAGAGUAACCGGGCUACGUCUACGCCAAGGACCCAGGACAGUGGGUACUUGGAGUGACUAUGGCGCCGAUAUU